UACAGAGGGGGCAAGCGUUGUUCGGAAUUACUGGGCGUAAAGGGCGCGUAGGUGGCCUUCUAAGUUGAACGUGAAAUCCCUGGGCUCAACCCAGGAACUGCGUCCAAGACUGGGAGGCUUGAAUCCGGGAGAGGGAUGCGGAAUUCCAGGUGUAGCGGUGAAAUGCGUAGAUAUCUGGAGGAACACCGGGUGGCGAAGGCGGCAUCCUGGACCGGUAUUGACACUGAGGCGCGAAAGCCAGGGAGCAACGGG
rnacentral:rRNA from 1 species